AACGUAGGUGGCGAGCGUUGUCCGGAUUGACUGGGCGUAAAGCGCACGCAGGCGGCAUCGCGCGUGGGGUGUGAAAUCUGGCCGCUUAACGGCCAGGCGCCAUCCCAUACGGCGAGGCUGGAGCGAUGCAGAGGUCGGUGGAAUUGCCGGUGUAGUGGUGAAAUGCGCAGAUAUCGGGAAGAACACCCGUGGCGAAGGCGGCUCUCUGGGACGGUACUGACGCUGAGACGCGAAAGCGUGGGGAGCGAACAGG
rnacentral:rRNA from 1 species